rnacentral:rRNA from 1 species
AGUGAACGCUGGCGGUAGGCCUAACACAUGCAAGUCGAACGGCAGCACAGUAAGAGCUUGCUCUUACGGGUGGCGAGUGGCGGACGGGUGAGGAAUACAUCGGAAUCUACUUUUUCGUGGGGGAUAACGUAGGGAAACUUACGCUAAUACCGCAUACGACCUACGGGUGAAAGCAGGGGAUCUUCGGACCUUGCGCGAUUGAAUGAGCCGAUGUCGGAUUAGCUAGUUGGCGGGGUAAAGGCCCACCAAGGCGACGAUCCGUAGCUGGUCUGAGAGGAUGAUCAGCCACACUGGAACUGAGACACGGUCCAGACUCCUACGGGAGGCAGCAGUGGGGAAUAUUGGACAAUGGGCGAAAGCCUGAUCCAGCCAUACCGCGUGGGUGAAGAAGGCCUUCGGGUUGUAAAGCCCUUUUGUUGGGAAAGAAAAGCAGCAGGUUAAUACCCCGCUGUUCUGACGGUACCCAGAGAAUAAGCACCGGCUAACUUCGUG